AGAAAAUGCAAUGGAAGAGACUGAAGAUUCUAACGAAAGAGGAGAGGAUUGCUAAACAAUAUCCAAGAUGAUGAGAAGAGACGGAAAGUCCAUCCAGAAACCACCAGAUACUGGAGCCUGGGAAAUGCAGCCUGGAGGGAUCAGACGGGACAGCAUGAGGGAAGGGCUACGAGAGGAUAUGGGGACCAUCAGGCCCAGCACCGGAUGACUUCCCUUUCAGAAAUGUGA
rnacentral:lncRNA from 1 species